rnacentral:rRNA from 1 species
UACGUAGGGACCGAGCGUUGUCCGGAUUCAUUGGGCGUAAAGGGCGCGUAGGCGGCCUGCUAAGUCGAACGUGAAAUCCCCGGGCUCAACCCGGGAACUGCGUCCGAUACUGGCAGGCUUGAAUCCGGGAGAGGGAUGCGGAAUUCCAGGUGUAGCGGUGAAAUGCGUAGAUAUCUGGAGGAACACCGGUGGCGAAGGCAAUCCCCUGGACCUGUACUGACGCUCAUGCACGAAAGCGUGGGGAGCAAACAGG